GGAGCGUUGUCCGGAAUUAUUGGGCGUAAGGGCUCGCAGGCGGUUUCUUAAGUCUGAUGUGAAAGCCCCCGGCUCAACCGGGGAGGGUCAUUGGAAACUGGGGAACUUGAGUGCAGAAGAGGAGAGUGGAAUUCCACGUGUAGCGGUGAAAUGCGUAGAGAUGUGGAGGAACACCAGUGGCGAAGGCGACUCUCUGGUCUGUAACUGACGCUGAGGAGCGAAAGCGUGGGGAGCGAACAGGAUUAGAUACCCUGGUAGUCCACGCCGUAAACGAUGAGUGCUAAGUGUUAGGGGGUUUCCGCCCCUUAGUGCUGCAGCUAACGCAUUAAGCACUCCGCCUGGGGAGUACGGUCGCAAGACUGAAACUCAAGGGAAUUGACGGA
rnacentral:rRNA from 1 species